rnacentral:lncRNA from 1 species
AUACAUGUACCAUACAUGUAUGGUACGGUAUUAUGGUAUUACCAUAUAUAUAUGGCACGACCACACCGUCGACGACCUGAACGAAUUAGUAAUAGCAUAGCAUGCCACCCAAAGGAAAAAGGGAUGACUGUACGACAGAACCACGUGGGGAACCUGGGAGACGAGGGAGAGCGUGUCAAACACCAAAAUGGUGGCGCAGAGGCCAUUCAGGGUGGGGAGACCCAAAACAUGUCCCACCCCUGUUCCCUUACAACACGCCUUAGUAGUCUAGGCUGAGGCGUACACCACCACCACCACCACCACCACCACCAGCACCACUACUACUACUACUAGUAUGUAUAUGUAUAACCCACUAUAGCCCACUAUAACCCAGGUCACUACCGUCCAUCGACUC